UUGUAAGUGUUUAAGGGCGCAUGGUGGAUGCCUUGGCACUGAGAGCCGAUGAAGGACGUGGGAGGCUGCGAUAUGCCUCGGGGAGCUGUCAACCGAGCGUGGAUCCGAGGAUGUCCUAAUGGGGAAACCCGGCACGAGUGAUGUCGUGUCACCUGUUCCUGAAUAUAUAGGGUGCAGGGGGUAACGCGGGGAAGUGAAACAUCUCAGUACCCGUAGGAAGAGAAAACAAGAGUGAUUCCGUGAGUAGUGGCGAGCGAAAGCGGAGGAUGGCUAAACCGUGUGCAUGUGAUACCCGGCGGGGGUUGUGUGUGCGGUGUUGUGGGGCGUUUCUUCUCUCAUCCGCCGGUGAGGGCGAAAGUGAUAAACCGUUGGGUUAGUCGAAGUGGUCUGGGAUGGCCUGUCGUAGAGGGUGAGAGCCCCGUAGACGAAAACUUGGCGGCUUUCGUGAAAUGUUUUCCCCGAGUAGCAGCGGGCCCGUGGAAUCUGCUGUGAAUCUGCCGGGACCACCCGGUAAGCCUGAAUACUUCUCAGUGACCGAUAGCGGAUCAGUACCGUGAGGGAAUGGUGAAAAGUACCCCGGGAGGGGAGUGAAAUAGUACCUGAAACCGUGUGCCUACAAUCCGUCAAAGCCCUCCCUUGUGGUGGGGUGAUGGCGUGCCUUUUGAAGAAUGAGCCUGCGAGUCAGGGACAUGUCGCGAGGUUAACCCGUGUGGGGUAGCCGCAGCGAAAGCGAGUCUGAAUAGGGCGUAUCACGUCAAUAGUGGCGUGUGUAGUGGUGUGUUCUGGACCCGAAGCGGAGUGAUCUACCCAUGGCCAGGGUGAAGCGCGGGUAAGACCGCGUGGAGGCCCGAACCCACUUAGGUUGAAGACUGAGGGGAUGAGCUGUGGGUAGGGGUGAAAGGCCAAUCAAACUCCGUGAUAGCUGGUUCUCCCCGAAAUGCAUUUAGGUGCAGCGUCGCAUGUUUCUUGUUGGAGGUAGAGCUACUGGAUGGCCGAUGGGCCCUACUAGGUUACUGACGUCAGCCAAACUCCGAAUGCCGACAAGUGAAAGUGUGGCAGUGAGACGGCGGGGGAUAAGCUCCGUGCGUCGAGAGGGAAACAGCCCAGAUCGCCGGCUAAGGCCCCUAAGCGUGUGCUAAGUGGAAAAGGAUGUGCAGUCGCGAAGACAACCAGGAGGUUGGCUUAGAAGCAGCCACCCUUGAAAGAGUGCGUAAUAGCUCACUGGUCAAGUGAUUGUGCGCCGAUAAUGUAGCGGGGCUCAAGCACACCGCCGAAGCCGCGGCAAUCUAUUGGUGACAAUAGGUUGGGUAGGGGAGCGUCCUGCAUCCGGUGAAGCAGCCGUGUGAACGUGUUGUGGAGGGUGUGGGAGUGAGAAUGCAGGCAUGAGUAGCGAUAAGGCAAGUGAGAACCUUGCCCGCCGAAAGACCAAGGGUUCCUGGGCCAGGCCAGUCCGCCCAGGGUGAGUCGGGACCUAAGGCGAGGCCGACAGGCGUAGUCGAUGGACAACGGGUUGAUAUUCCCGUACCCGUGUAUGAGCGUCCCUGAUGAAUCACCGGUACUAACCGCCCAAAACCAGAAUCACUGAUCCCUUCGGGGUGAUGGUUUCUGGGGCUGCGCGGGACCUUCGGUGGUAGUAGUCAAGCGAUGGGGUGACGCAGGAAGGUAGCCGUACCAGUCAGUGGUAAUACUGGGGCAAACCUGUAGGGAGUCAGAUAGGCAAAUCCGUCUGACACUUAUCCUGAGAGGUGAUGCAUAGCCGAGUGAGGCGAAUUCGGUGAUCCUAUGCUGUCGAGAAAAGCCUCUAGCGAGCGCAUACACGGCCCGUACCCCAAACCAACACAGGUGGUCAGGUAGAGAAUACCGAGGCGUACGAGUGAACUAUGGUUAAGGAACUCGGCAAAAUGCCCCCGUAACUUCGGGAGAAGGGGGACCCCCAUACCGUCAACACCUUCGCGGUGGGCAGCGGCAGGGGGUGGCACAAACCAGUGAGAAGCGACUGUUUACUAAAAACACAGGUCCGUGCGAAGUCGCAAGACGAUGUAUACGGACUGACGCCUGCCCGGUGCUGGAAGGUUAAGAGGACCCGUUAACCCUUCGGGGUGAAGCGGAGAAUUUAAGCCCCAGUAAACGGCGGUGGUAACUAUAACCAUCCUAAGGUAGCGAAAUUCCUUGUCGGGUAAGUUCCGACCUGCACGAAUGGCGUAACGACUUCUCAGCUGUCUCAACCAUAGACUCGGCGAAAUUGCAUUACGAGUAAAGAUGCUCGUUACGCGCGGCAGGACGAAAAGACCCCGGGACCUUCACUACAACUUGGUAUUGGUGCUCGAUACGGUUUGUGUAGGAUAGGUGGGAGACUAUGAAGCAGUCACGCCAGUGAUUGUGGAGUCGUUGUUGAAAUACCACUCUGAUCGUAUUGGGCCUCUAACCUCGAACCGUAUAUCCGGUUCAGGGACAGUGCCUGGUGGGUAGUUUAACUGGGGCGGUUGCCUCCUAAAAUGUAACGGAGGCGCCCAAAGGUUCCCUCAACCUGGACGGCAAUCAGGUGUUGAGUGUAAGUGCACAAGGGAGCUUGACUGCGAGACGUACAUGUCAAGCAGGGACGAAAGUCGGGACUAGUGAUCCGGCACCCCCGAGUGGAAGGGGUGUCGCUCAACGGAUAAAAGGUACCCCGGGGAUAACAGGCUGAUCUUCCCCAAGAGUCCAUAUCGACGGGAUGGUUUGGCACCUCGAUGUCGGCUCGUCGCAUCCUGGGGCUGGAGCAGGUCCCAAGGGUUGGGCUGUUCGCCCAUUAAAGCGGCACGCGAGCUGGGUUUAGAACGUCGUGAGACAGUUCGGUCUCUAUCCGCCGCGCGCGUCAGAAGCUUGAGGAAACCUGUCCCUAGUACGAGAGGACCGGGACGGACGAACCUCUGGUACACCAGUUGUCCCACCAGGGGCACCGCUGGAUAGCCACGUUCGGACAGGAUAACCGCUGAAAGCAUCUAAGCGGGAAACCUCUUCCAAGACCAGGCUUCUCACCCAUCAAGUGGGAUAAGGCCCCCCGCAGACCACGGGAUCGAUAGACCAGACCUACACGCACAGCAAUGUGUUCAGGGAACUGGCACUAACCGGCCGAAAACUUACACAC
rfam:Mycobacterium rutilum strain DSM 45405 genome assembly, chromosome: I